rnacentral:snoRNA from 8 species
GGAUCGAUGAUGACUCCCACAAAUGCAUUCCUUGGAAAUCUGAACAAAAUGAGUGAGCCAUCACUACCGUCUCCUCAUCGGAACUGAGGUCC